GAAGGGCUGUGGCUCAGUGGUAGAACAUCUGCUUUGCUUGCAGAAGACCCCAGGUUCAAUCCCCGGCACCUGCA